UACGAAGGGGGCUAGCGUUGUUCGUAAUUACUGGGCGUAAAGCGCGCGCAGGCGGUUUUUCAAGUCAGUGGUGAAAGCCCGGAGCUCAACUCCGGAAAUGCCAUUGAAACUGCAAAACUUGAGGACGAGAGAGGUGAGUGGAAUUCCCAGUGUAGAGGUGAAAUUCGUAGAUAUUGGGAAGAACACCGGUGGCGAAGGCGGCGACCUGGUCCUUGACUGACGCUGAGGCGCGAAAGCGUGGGGAGCAAACAGG
rnacentral:rRNA from 1 species